GCCUGGGUGGCUCAGUCGGUUAAGUGUCUGACUUUGGCUCAGAUCCUGAUCUCGUGGUUCGUGAGUUCAAGUCCCACCUAUGGGCU
rnacentral:tRNA from 1 species